CGUCCCACCCCCCACUCCUGU
rnacentral:miRNA from 1 species